rnacentral:rRNA from 1 species
GAUGAACGCUAGCUACAGGCUUAACACAUGCAAGUCGAGGGGCAGCAUGGUCUUAGCUUGCUAAGGCCGAUGGCGACCGGCGCACGGGUGAGUAACACGUAUCCAACCUGCCGUCUACUCUUGGACAGCCUUCUGAAAGGAAGAUUAAUACAAGAUGGCAUCAUGAGUCCGCAUGUUCACAUGAUUAAAGGUAUUCCGGUAGACGAUGGGGAUGCGUUCCAUUAGAUAGUAGGCGGGGUAACGGCCCACCUAGUCUUCGAUGGAUAGGGGUUCUGAGAGGACGGUCCCCCACAUUGGAACUGAGACACGGUCCAAACUCCUACGGGAGGCAGCAGUGAGGAAUAUUGGUCAAUGGGCGAGAGCCUGAACCAGCCAAGUAGCGUGAAGGAUGACUGCCCUAUGGGUUGUAAACUUCUUUUAUAAAGGAAUAAAGUCGGGUAUGCAUACCCGUUUGCAUGUACUUUAUGAAUAAGGAUCGGCUAACUCCGUGCCAGCAGCCGCGGUAAUACGGAGGAUCCGAGCGUUAUCCGGAUUUAUUGGGUUUAAAGGGAGCGUAGAUGGAUGUUUAAGUCAGUUGUGAAAGUUUGCGGCUCAACCGUAAAAUUGCAGUUGAUACUGGAUAUCUUGAGUGCAGUUGAGGCAGGCGGAAUUCGUGGUGUAGCGGUGAAAUGCUUAGAUAUCACGAAGAACUCCGAUUGCGAAGGCAGCCUGCUAAGCUGCAACUGACAUUGAGGCUCGAAAGUGUGGGUAUCAAACAGGAUUAGAUACCCUGGUAGUCCACACGGUAAACGAUGAAUACUCGCUGUUUGCGAUAUACAGCAAGCGGCCAAGCGAAAGCGUUAAGUAUUCCACCUGGGGAGUACGCCGGCAACGGUGAAACUCAAAGGAAUUGACGGGGGCCCGCACAAGCGGAGGAACAUGUGGUUUAAUUCGAUGAUACGCGAGGAACCUUACCCGGGCUUAAAUUGCAGAUGAAUUACGGUGAAAGCCGUAAGCCGCAAGGCAUCUGUGAAGGUGCUGCAUGGUUGUCGUCAGCUCGUGCCGUGAGGUGUCGGCUUAAGUGCCAUAACGAGCGCAACCCUUGUUGUCAGUUACUAACAGGUUCCGCUGAGGACUCUGACAAGACUGCCAUCGUAAGAUGUGAGGAAGGUGGGGAGGACGUCAAAUCAGCACGGCCCUUACGUCCGGGGGUACACACGUGUUACAAUGGGGGGUACAGAGGGCCGCUACCACGCGAGUGGAUGCCAAUCCCAAAAACCUCUCUCAGUUCGGACUGGAGUCUGCAACCCGACUCCACGAAGCUGGAUUCGCUAGUAAUCGCGCAUCAGCCACGGCGCGGUGAAUACAAUGCCGGGCCUUGCACA